rnacentral:sRNA from 1 species
UGCGUGCCGUGGGCAGUUUGUGCCUGUGGGGGGCACCUGGGUGGAGAUGGAUGGGAACCUGCCCAGUGGAGAGGCCAUGGUGAGGCAGUUUUUGCAGGGCCAGAACUUCUUUCUGCAGGAGUUUGGGAAGAUGUGCUCCGAGUUCUGGCUGCCGGACACCUUUGGCUACUCAGCACAGCUCCCCCAGAUCAUGCACGGCUGUGGCAUCAGGCGCUUUCUCACCCAGAAAUUGAGCUGGAAUUUGGUGAACUCCUUCCCACACCAUACAUUUUUCUGGGAGGGCCUGGAUGGCUCCCGUGUACUGGUCCACUUCCCACCUGGCGACUCCUAUGGGAUGCAGGGCAGCGUGGAGGAGGUGCUGAAGACCGUGGCCAACAACCGGGACAAGGGGCGGGCCAACCACAGUGCCUUCCUCUUUGGCUUUGGGGAUGGGGGUGGUGGCCCCACCCAGACCAUGCUGGACCGCCUGAAGCGCCUGAGCAAUACGGAUGGGCUGCCCAGGUCAGGCCGGGCCUUGGCUCUCCUUUAGCCCCACCCUGGGCCCUUGCCAUGAGCCCUGCCUUCCCUCAGACAUUGGGCCCAACCCCUCCUC